UACGUAGGUGGCAAGCGUUGUCCGGAAUUAUUGGGCGUAAAGCGCGCGCAGGCGGUCCUUUAAGUCUGAUGUGAAAGCCCACGGCUCAACCGUGGAGGGUCAUUGGAAACUGGGGGACUUGAGUGCGGCAGAGGAGACUGGAAUUCCUGGUGUAGCAGUGAAAUGCGUAGAUAUCAGGAGGAAUACCGAUGGCGAAGGCAGGUCUCUGGGCUGACACUGACGCUCAUGCACGAAAGCGUGGGGAGCAAACAGG
rnacentral:rRNA from 1 species